UACGGGGGGGGCAAGCGUUGUUCGGAAUUACUGGGCGUAAAGGGCUCGUAGGUGGCCAACUAAGUCAGACGUGAAAUCCCUCGGCUUAACCGGGGAACUGCGUCUGAUACUGGAUGGCUUGAGUUUGGGAGAGGGACGCGGAAUUCCAGGUGUAGCGGUGAAAUGCGUAGAUAUCUGGAGGAACACCGGUGGCGAAGGCGGCGUCCUGGACAGUUACUGACACUGAGGCACGAAGGCCAGGGGAGCAAACAGG
rnacentral:rRNA from 1 species